rnacentral:rRNA from 1 species
CACUGGUCGAGUGAUCCUGCGCCGAAGAUUUCCGGGGCUAAAACUUACUACCGAAGCUACGGCAUCAGUAAUGAUGGGUAGGGGAGCUUCCCAUACGGGUUGAAGCAUGACCGUAAGGACAUGUGGACAGUAUGGGAGUGAGAAUGUUGGCAUGAGUAGCGAGAUGUGGGUGAGAAUCCCACAGGCCGUAAACCCAAGGUUUCCAGGGGAAGGUUCGUCCGCCCUGGGUUAGUCGGGACCUAAGCUGAGGCCGAAAGGCGUAGGUGAUGGACAACAGGUUGAUAUUCCUGUACUACCGAUAACCGUUUGAGAGAGGGGAUGACACAGUAGGAUAAGCUAAGCACACUGUUGGUUAUGUGUGCCCAAGCAUUGAGGCAGUCAAAGUAGGCAAAUCCGCUUUUAUAAUGCUGGGAUGUGAUGGGGAGCGAAAUUUAGUAGCGAA